rnacentral:lncRNA from 1 species
CAAUUAAGGAUUAGCAAAUUCAAGAAAUAUUUCAUCUGGUCGCGAGUUGCCACUGGAUCAUAUUGUCUUACUCGGUCAUUCUCUUCACGUACAAAAAAGCUUCAGCGCGGCUGAAUAUCCCAUAUUGAGGUGAGCCAUGAGUCCCAAUCACCAGAUUAUAUCAGCACUAUUGAAAAUCCCAUUUGAGCCGUGAGUGCCCAAAACACUAUGUAGCUUGUCAUGGUAUCUUACCAGCAGUACUAUUGAACAACGUAGCAGAUACGGGACUUGGUCUUCUCUUCUCUUCAUCUCGUUCAUGUGAGCUGUGUCCAGGACAAAAAUAUACAGAAACUACUAUUACCAAGUGAUCUCAGAUGGAAAUUAAAAGAAAAAACUCUGCGACAAGAAAUUGCAUUCUAACUUUGGUUGGGCUAUCCUCUACAGAAGGUAUUCAAUAAAUAUAAUCAAGAUUAUGUGUAUCUGAAUGGUUCGAGCCUUUUGGAAGCUAACCAGGGAGAUAAAUCAUAAAUGUGUGAUGAUACACUGACACGUAUCUGAAUGGACUAGUGGAUAAACCUCGUGAUCUAUAUCCCAAUCUGCUGGUGGGUUGUUCUCGGAAACUCAUAUGGAAAGUCAGCAACAGUUUUCACUAAAAGGUAGCGUGUAGGAACCCAAUUGGUUAUCGAUCUAGUCGUUAUCACCUAAUACUGUUGUAGGCAAGUCAACUAAGCGUACCCUAACUAUUACAGAAAAGAAAUGUGUGACUUGCUCACGAAGUACCAGCCCGCCUAGCUGGAGUUGUAACGGGCGAUAUGCCAAACCUUAUGUCGGCUAGGAUUAGGAAAAGAAAAAAAGAAAAAAAUGGUGUAACUUGCACACGAAGUAAAUACAUCUACUCAGCAAGGAUUAGGAAUAAUAUCAACUGAUUAAGGUGGAGAAAAUUUCCUGAUAACACUUGUUAUCUUGCAAUCUUCAACUUACAAGGGCGAUCGAGUCAGGUCUGACUGAUCCUAUUGUCGGCGUGUCUUAGCUGUGGCCAAGAUACAUGAUAAGCCACAAGCAAGUACAUGACUAGAUUCACUAAAGGAAUAGUCGAAUCACAUGAGCAUAUACCCUCUGAUAAAGGAAAUAGUAGUAUUUAGUAAUGUUCAUUGUUGGAAAAGUCAAAUCGUUGUCUACGCUCUAACCUAACCAUCAAAUUUUUAUCAAUAAAGCAGCAGGCAUGAUGCGUGUACAUGCCAUCUCUGUCUGAUGUGAGAAGUAGCAUCUUCUGUUGACCUAAGGUAUUGAUACUCUAGAAACGUUUUAAAGCAUUUCUUCAAAGGUAAUACAUAAAAAACAGAAAAUUGGAAGCUUACAGGCUGCUAUUAGUUGACGAAGGGGCCAUCAUGUACCUUAAUUAAAAGAAACUAGCCCCUGUGCUCCGUUCUAAUCCAAGCCACUAUGUAGAUUCCAGGAAGCUGCACGGGGCGGUCUUUUCUACAUUAUGCCCCGUCAUAGCUAAUAGAUUAGCCCUCUUAAAUAGGAAGUGUCCAAACUGGAUUGAGAUAGAGAGAAAAUAGGAAGUUUAUGGAAGUACAAGAGAGAGAAAGAGAGUUUUGUACUAUAUGUUCCAUAGCAUUUUUUUUCCUUUCUUGAACUAUUGAGCUGGAUCCUAAUAUCCAUACAAUUCCUCACAGAACACCCCCAUUUACAUGGCUGAUCCUAGCAUGAUGAUUUGUGCAGCCCUGCAGCCUGUGUGUGGCUUCAUCAAUAACACAGGGGCACCAGCAGCUACUGCAAGACGUUUCUCAUCUUCCGUUUGCAUCAAGCGCAACCGGAGAGCCCUUACGAAAGCCAUUGAAGACCUACAAGCUGUAGAGAAGGUGGUUCAAGAACAAGUUAGCGUUGAAACCAACCAGCUCAACAAGUGCGAUCCUCGAGUCGAAUUAUGGCUGAGCAGGGUCGAUGGAGUCCUCGUCCCAAUUGAUGCCAUCGAACAAGAGUGUGACCAACUCAUGCAAUACUCUUGCUUCUGUAGCUCUUCCCUAAGCCUUGGGAAACGCUAUCGUCUUCGCAAGCGUGUUCUUGAGAUUCUGGAGGAUCUUCGUGGGCUAAUUGAGGAAGGGAAUCAAUUCAAGGUAUUCGGAAGCAAGCCUUUGCCAGCUUUGGUUGAGGAUCAACCAAGGAUAGAAGCCCUUGGCAUCAAGCCUGUGCUGAAGAAUCUCUGGGAAUUUUUCAACAGCAGCAAUGUGGGCAUCAUUGGAAUUUGGGGUCCAGGAGGGGUUGGGAAAACAACCCUCCUCAACACCUUCAACAAUGAACUCAAGGAGUGGGGCACCGAUUACCAGGUACAUAACUAUGAUACAUUGCCUAGAUGAACAUUUAGAUGAGAUUUGUUAUAUGCUUCCAGACAAACUUAAAAUGAACACAGUAACAAAAGUUAAUGUACGCCUUUGAGUCUAUUUCUUUACAGUAGAUUGGAAUUAAUAUAAAACCUUCCAUUUAAAACGUUUUCAACUAAACUUCAAGUAAAAGUGUACAAAUCGAGCUUUUGUCCAGAAGUGCGUAUGCAUUUGCUAUAAAAUCCUACAACAUCAAAUUUCUCAGUUCACUAAUUAUGUGCAUACAUCUAACCACUUAAAGAUACACUGCAGUUUCAUCUGAUGGAUAUUAUAUAUUUCUCCAAAUAUUUCGCAACCAAGAUAAAUAACUUAUUUUCAUUUCUCUAUAUAUGCAUUAAUUAUAAUUUUUAUGGUUUUCAUAGAAAUAAAAGGUAGUAUCGAUCCUUUGUUUACAGUGGCAUUAAUUAGAUAAAAGGAAGAAAAUUUUCAGAGUAAUUUGAAUUUAAACACGUGUUCUGAAAAUAUUGAAUGUAUACAGCAAAAAAUACGAAGUGAAAAAAAAACACCCUUUUUCCAGAACCCCACAUAUUUAACUAUGUUCUUCUUUCCCAGAAAUUUGGAUUAGUGUACAUUCUCUGAUAUCACAGAGUCAAAAAUUCACAAUGUUUUACCUUGCCUGACUGCAUUUCUCGCGUGCAUAUUUCUGAAGUUACUAUAGUUAAUUGAAUAAAGAAUAGAACUGCUUCCCUUGCUCAGAUAGAUUGGAAUCAACACAAGCAGAACAUCUCCCUUGCUCAUAUUAGUAUGUCCCAGUUAUUUUGUUAAUAAGUGGGCUUUUAAAUCAGUCCGGCAAUGAACAAGAAAAAUAUGAGUGAACAUUCUCUCACAAUGCGAACAGGAGUGAGAGCAUAAGCACGUUUAUGUUAUGGCCGGUUUAGCUAGGCCCACCGGACAAUCUUAGCCCACAAGUUAUCUUAGGUUAAUUAUUAUGCAAGUUAUCUUAGGUUAAUUCUUAUGCAAGUUAUUUAGGUUAUAAAUAUAGGCUGUAAGACUCUUUUGGAAUUAAGCAAUAAGAAUAUUAUUAUCCCUAUUGCCCGGCUCCCAGAGGAGCCGGAACCCUAGCCGCCACCGCCAUCUCCCUCCGACGCGACGGCGCCCAGCCGCCGGCGCGCCCGAUCAUCGCCCCGUCCCGCUCCAUCCUUCCCCUACAACCUCCGGAGCAGGUCCGGUAGGACCCCUGGUUCUACCAAUUUGGUAUCCAGAGACUUGGGUUCGAUCAUGUCUUCAUCAACACCAUCGCCGCCGCUGCCCGUCUCCACCUCCGUGCCGAUGACCACCGUGCCGAUGACGUCCACCCCAAUGACCACCGCCGGGGCCUCCACGCUGUCGGGCCCAGUCACCGCCGUGGGCUCCUCACCACCGCCGGCCCCCAUCACUUCCGCGCCGCCACCAGCCGCCGUCUUCACGCCGGAACAGAUGACCAGCACGCUGCAACAGCUCGUGACGGCCGUCCAAGGGCUCCACAUGAACCAGUACCACCAGUACAUGGCAGGAGCGUACGGCCUUCCGCCGGCUGCGCCGAUCACCACCUACGGCCACCCUGCGCCGUGGCUGUUCCCGGGCGCACCCGCAGGCGGCGGGCCCCCGCUAUUGCCGUUCCAGACGGGGAACUCCAGUGGGCCACCACCAGCCGCCGCGGGCCUGUGGCAUCUGCCGCCGCCACCAUCGAUGGCGCCCCUCUGGCACCUGCAGCAGUUGCCGUUCCCGGCAGCCGCUGCCCCCGUCCAGCCCCCGCUGCUGCCGCUGCAACCACCGGCGCCGCCCCUGCCCAGCUCGGGGGCACCCUCGCCAACCGGCCUCCCGAUCCAUCAGGUCCGAUUACCGCCCUCCCCGUCGCCACUCCCAGCGUGGGCGGAUGGGUCUUCACCAUCGCCGGUCUACACCACGGCCCCCGAACAGCCGACUCCGUUCCCGCAGUUCGGUGGGCCAUCCGGUUCCGCCAGUCCCUACCCGGAGUACUCCGACCAGGCGCCACCCGCCUCGCUGCUCCGCUCCUCUGAGCUAGCUCGACACGUCGCUCCGACUCAGACACCGCCGCGGUUCGUCAAGAUCGACUUCGCCACCUAUGACGGCACGGAGGACCCCCUCAACUGGCUCAACCAGUGCGACCAGUUCUUUCGCGGGCAGCGCACCCUCGCAUUGGAGCGUACCUGGCUCGCCUCGUACCACCUCCGCGGUGCGGCACACACCUGGUAUUACGCCCUCGAGCAGGACGAGGGUGCCAUGCCCCCGUGGGAGCGCUUCCGCAAGCUCUGCCUCCUUCGCUUUGGGCCUCUGGUUCGCGGGAGCCGCCUGGCGGAGCUCGUCCGCCUUCCCUUCACCUCCAUGGUGCAGGACUACGCCGACCGUUUCCAGGCCCUGGCAUGCCAUGCGUCGGGUGUGACGGCGCAGCAGUGGGCCGACCUCUUUGUCGGUGGACUUCCGGAUCACAUCCGCGUGGACGAGGAGCUCCGGGGACCCCAGGAUCUCCAGUCGGCCAUGUGCUACGCCCGCGCGUUCGAGCACCGCAUGGUGGCCAUCCAACAGGAAUCACCAUCCCGGACCGCUGGGUCGCUACCCGGGUCGGAUUCCGCGUAGGGUCGGCCUGCGCAAGCUUCUGCGGCACCCCUCGCCGCGACCGCGGUGCGCCCGUUCCGCCGGCUCACCUCAGCCGAGCUACUCGAGCGUCGCCGCCAAGGGUUGUGCUUCAACUGCGACGAGCCCUACACGCCCGGCCAUGCCUGCCCGCGACUCUUCUACCUAGAGGUUGCAGACUACAUUCCGGAGGACGCCGUUGCCGCCGACCUGGCCGCCCCAGCUGUCGAGAAGGUGUUUGACGCUAGUUGAUCGCCUCGAGGAGUUCCGAAAGCGCUUCCCCACCUUACAGCUCGAGGACGAGCUGUUUGUGCAGACGGGGAGAAGUGUUAUGGCCGGUUUAGCUAGGCCCACCGGGCAAUCUUAGCCCACAAGUUAUCUUAGGUUAAUUCUUAUGCAAGUUAUCUUAGGUUAAUUCUUAUGCAAGUUAUCUAGGUUAUAAAUAUAGGCUGUAAGACUCUUUUUUGAAUUAAGCAAUAAGAAUAUUAUUAUCCCUAUUCUGGGAGCCGGAACCCUAGCCGCCGCCAUCUCCCUCCGACGCGACGGCGCCCAGCCGCCGGCGCGCCCGAUCAUCGCCCCGUCCCGCUCCAUGCUUCCCCUACAACCUCCGGAGCAGGUCCGGUAGGACCCCUGGUUCUACCAGUUUAGCAGUCAUAGAAUGAUUAACUUACCUAUACUCCCACUGAAACAAUUUUUUUUUACCUACACUUGAUAAAUUAUUCACAAGUCAGAAGAUUGACUGCAUGCGGAUCCACAACUUAUUUUUUUUCAUACAUGUUUACUGGAUCAUUAUAUUUCUACUGAUUCAAAUUGACUUCGUUAGGUGGUAAUCAUGAUUGAAGUGUCCAACUCUGGAAAUCUAAAUAUAGCAGCCAUCCAGCGCAUGAUUACAGACCGCCUUGGCUUGCCUUGGAAUGACACAGAGACAGUGCAAACUCGUGCCAGAUUCUUGGCAAAAGCACUGGGAAGAAAGAAAUUUAUCAUUUUACUGGAUGAUGUCCGGAACAAAUUCAAAUUAGAAGAUGUCGGGAUCCCAGCCCCAGAUUCUGAAAUCAAAAGCAAGUUGAUUCUUACCUCACGUGAUGAGGAUGUUUGCUAUCAAAUGGGAGCACACCAGAGUUUGAUCAAGAUGGAGUACCUAGAGAAGGAGUCAGCGUGGGAGCUCUUCCAAAACAAUUUGAGCACUAAUGCCAUUGCAGCCAUUGAGUCUCCUGCCCCUAAUGUUGUACGAGAGCAUGCUGAAGCAAUUGUCCAGAGCUGUGGUGGUUUGCCACUUGCACUCAAGGUAAUAGGGAGGGCCGUUGCUGGACUAACAGAACCCGAGGAUUGGAGCCUGGCGGUGCAAGCAACCAAGGAUGACAUAAAGGACUUGCAUGGAGUACCAGAAAUGUUCCAUAAAUUGAAAUACAGUUACGAUAAGUUGAUCAAGCAACAACAACGGUGUUUCCUGUACUGCACCCUUUUUCCAGAAUAUGGUUCAAUCAGAAAAGAUAAGCUUGUGGAGUACUGGAUGGCAGAUGGGUUGAUACCUCAGGACCCCAAGAAAGGCCAUCAUAUAAUCCGUAGCCUGUUGUCAGCAUGCUUGUUAGAGAGUUGCAAAUCUGACUCUUCGAAGGUCAAAAUGCACCACAUUAUUCGCCAUCUGGGGAUUUCCCUUGCAGUGCGGGAAAAUAUUAUUGUGAAGGCUGGAAUGAGUUUGGAGAGGGCUCCAUCAGAGAGGGAGUGGCAAGCAGCAAGAAGGAUAUCACUCAUGUUUAAUGACAUAAGGGACCUUUGUAUCUCACAUGAGUGCAGGAAUCUAGUAACUUUGCUAGUUCAGCAUAAUCCUAAUUUGGAAAGGCUCAGUCCAACAAUCUUCAAAUUCAUGCCUUCCUUGAGGGUCCUUGAUCUUUCACACACCAGCAUCACAACUCUUCCACCCUGUGAAACAUUGUCCAAGCUUAAGUAUCUCAAUUUGUCCCACACAUGCAUUGAGAGGCUUCCUGAGGAGUUUUGGGUGCUCAAAGAACUAACCCAUUUAGAUUUAAGUGUUACCAAGGCCCUUAAAGAGACAUUUGACAAUUGUUCCAAGCUACACAAGCUAAGGGUCCUAAACCUCUUCCGAAGCAACUAUGGGAUUCGUGAUGUCAAUGAUCUGAACAUUGAUUCCCUAAAAGAACUUGAGUUCCUUGGUAUCACAAUUUAUGCCGAGGAUGUGUUAAAGAAGUUGACCAAGACACAUCCGCUGGCAUAGUCGACACAGCGCCUUAGCCUCAAACACUGCGAUCAAAUGCAGUCGAUCCAAAUAUCAGACUUCACACAUAUGGUGCAACUUGGAGAGCUCUAUGUUGAAUCAUGUCCUGACUUGAAACAGCUUAUUGCUGACUCUGACAAGCGAAGAUCUUGUCUGCAAGUGCUUACCCUUGCUGAACUUCCUGCUCUAGAAACAGUUCUUAUUGGAUCUUCGCCUCAUCACUUUCGGAACCUCCUAGAAAUUACAAUCUCCCACUGCCAAAAAUUGCACGAUGUUACCUGGGUUCUGAAGCUGGAGUCACUUGAGAAGCUUUCUAUCUAUCACUGUCAUGAAUUAGAGCAAGUUGUUGAAGAAACAACCGACGAGGUGGAAAGCAAGAGUUCGGGAAUUGAACAGGGUAGUACUCAGAGAUGCAGGAGAAAAAAUGGUUUCUCUGAAGAACAAGAGAUACAUGGUAUGGUAGAUGACGCAUGGAAUGAAUAUGCCAAAUAUUACCAGAAUAUGACCAGGAGUGGGCGGAUCAAUGGAACAGAGCACCAUGCAGACUUCCCAAAACUGAGAUCAUUGGUACUAACUGACCUACCAAAGCUGAGAAGGGUAUGCAUCCCAAGAGACUUUCCAUGUCUUGAAAGUAUUAGGGUGGAGAACUGCCCGAAUCUGAAAACAAUUCCAUUGGGUCAGACAUAUGAUUGCCAGAGACUAAAUAGGAUUUGUGGAUCAUAUGCCUGGUGGGAAAAGCUAGAAUGGGGUUGCAAGGACAUAAUGGAGAGCAAGUAUUUCAUUCCCAUCCAAGACAAAGACUAGCACAAUCACUGCAACAUGAUGAAACAAUACGCAUUGCUGAUAUAUUAUGUUUACCUCAGAGUAUGAUGAAUGUUCUGCAUUAGCUUCAAUUUCAUCUGCCACACUCAAGCAUAAGCAAC